rnacentral:lncRNA from 1 species
UUACUGGAAACCAAGUCAGGUUAAUCCUUGGUGCUUCUGCACUUCCCCCAACACUUGAUUGCAUGACUCGGCUUACUUGCCAGAGAGUACGUUGGACUAUUCCUAAUUUAGUCCACGCCCCUUGAGGUAGCCGAUCAAAUUAUAGUCGUGCAGCUCUGUUGCGCAAAAAACAAAGAAAAAAGAAAGAAAAGGAUUGCUUCAGUUGCACUACAACAACAUGGCCAAAAUGCAAUUCCUAAUUCAUUGCUCUGUGUCCUAACUCAGAUUAGCUUCUUCGACUUGCCGCAGGCUGAGAGAAAAUGGACCAUCAACAGAAGAACGGCACCGGAAUGAAGAGAACCCUACAGUUAUCAAGCCCAAUAUUCAAUUCAGCAAUCACUUCAGAGGAAGAAGCUGUGAUACAAAGAGAUGCCAAACUUGAAUCAUGAUAUUCGCUUUGCGUCGUUGACAUCACUUAUAACAUCUUGGACGAUGUUGACCCAGCCUCCAUGAUAAUUA